rnacentral:rRNA from 1 species
GACGAACGCUGGCGGCGUGCCUAAUACAUGCAAGUCGAGCGAAUCAAUGGGAGCUUGCUCCCUGAGAUUAGCGGCGGACGGGUGAGUAACACGUGGGUAACCUGCCUGUAAGACUGGGAUAACUUCGGGAAACCGGAGCUAAUACCGGAUAGUUUCUUUUCUCGCAUGAGAGAAGAUGGAAAGAUGGUUUCGGCUAUCACUUACAGAUGGAACCGCGGCGCAUUAGCUAGUUGGUGAGGUAAUGGCUCACCAAGGCGACGAUGAGUAGCCGACCAGAGAGGGUGAGGGGCCACACUGGGACUGAGACACGGCCCAGACUCCUACGGGAGGCAGCAGUAGGGAAUCUUCCGCAAUGGACGAAAGUCUGACGGAGCAACGCCGCGUGAGCGAAGAAGGCCUUCGGGUCGUAAAGCUCUGUUGUUAGGGAAGAACAAGUACGAGAGUAACUGCUCGUACCUUGACGGUACCUAACCAGAAAGCCACGGCUAACUACGUGCCAGCCGCCGCAGUAAGAC